CUGUGUAUGACGAUAAUAUGUUAGGGACAUCUGCAUUCAUUUGUGAUGAUUUAACGAUAGUAGUACUGACACAG
rnacentral:snoRNA from 1 species